AAUUAAUUGUGCCAGUGGAAAAACUUCAGGGGCUCCGUUCUCCCUUAUGAAAUUCGCUACAGUGGUGGAACACAUUUACUACUAUUAGUCCAUCAAGUUUCAGAACGUAUCAUUUAUCCACAGAUUUUGGAGGAAUUUUCAAAGUUUUUACAAACAUCAUUUUUUUAAAAAAAAACACAAGUGCGAUCUUUUUGAAUUUUCUAUGCAAUGCCACAAGAUAAUAAGGGAUCAUUUCCCCAACUUUCAUCUGUUUUUUGGAAAUUUUUAAAAAGUUUUGAUAAAACUUUUUUUUAAAAAGCCACAACAACUAUCCCAUUGAAUGGUGCUCUCUAUAUGACACACAAAACAACACAAUCAACCAUAGAACUUCAAAACUUAGGAAUUUCCUCCCAAUCCAGCACAGAUUUACUUGCUAAUAUCAUGCAGUCCUUUUUGCUGAUUCAAUAAUGAUCAAUAAUAAUUCAAUAAUGGAACUCCGGCUGCUGCUAGGGAGGGAUAAAUCUCUCCCCUAUCCUAAUUGGAGCUUUUUGAUGCUGAGCAGAAUUCUGAAAAAUGUAGUUUAGGGCAUGGCCUUUUAAAUUUUCUGCCACAGGGGUCCUCGCCUUCCCAAACUACAUUUCCCAGAAUUCUGUGCUACCUCAGUCUCCUUUCCAGCUAUCUCAGCUCUUCUGGCCCAGCUGCUUGCCUGUCUCUUAAUUUAAAGAGGAAUGGGGCCUCUUUGGCUUCGCUUUCCUUGUUUUCACUGAAAAUGAAACUGAAUUUGGGAGGCUUCUGAGGAUUACAGAAUCUAAACAAAAAGUAUGGGGUCAAGCAUGCCCAGUGUAGUCCUACUUUCAGUAUUCUGACAGAGGUGGAGAUUAGGAGGGUAGAAAGAACCACAACAGAAGCAAGGGUGCCAUGAUUUUAAAAGCUGAUGGAGUCACUUUGCCUGAUAGAUUAUUAAAGAAGCAAAAAGAAAAGUUCUUUGCGGAAAAGAAACUGUGCAAGAACCUUUUCCCAAAAGCAUUACUACAAAUAGAUAUCAGAUCCAGAUACUCAUCUACUGUAUGUCUUGAUGGGAGGUCAGACCAAAACCGUGCCACAGAGCAGAAAACGCAACCUGCAUGCAGUACAAUAUUCAGCAAAGUAGCUGUCUUCUGCCUAAACCAGUGAUGGGCAACCUUUUGAGCCUGGUGUGUCAAAAUUCGCCAAAACACCAAACAUAACUUGGGCGACAUGUCACUUUGAGAAAAAAAAUAUGAUUUUGCAAUAUUUAUAGUUUAAAUAACAAAAAUGCGUAAUUGUAAUAUAUAACUGUAUUUAAUGAACCAAAAACUAAUUAUUUAACUUAUCUGUUUAGCGAUUACUUUGUUCAUCUGUCAGUCAAUUUCUUUUGUUGCUCUUGAUAUUAUUUAACUUGUGUGGGGUGCCGUGAACUAAGUGAGGAGGAGAGGGAAUUCGUUAACUAACCUGCCUAUUAGUGACUUUUCAAUGCUUAGGUCACUGAAUGUUUGUAUAACAACCUUACAUAUUUCGCUUCCUGAUGUACUUGUUGGCACUGAUACUAACUUUAUCAACUCUUCUCUCAUUGUGAGACCAUCAGAAUAUCGACCAAUAAUGGCCAACUGAGCAUGUGAUGUGACAUUAGUAGUUUCAUCAUGAGAGAUUAAAAAAUAUUUACAAUUACUUAUGCCUCUCUUUAAUUGAUGUUGUAUUUGUGUUCAGUCUCCUUAUUCGGUCCUUUAUGAUAUUUCUACUGAGUGGUAACUCAGAUAUUCUCUUAAUCAUUGCAUCUUUAUUCUGCAUAUCCCGAAAUAGAACUGGUUCACAUCUUUCUUUAAUAAAUUUUCUCACUGAGUGCUUUUCCAUGCUGAGCUAUGGAGUGAGCAGUUCUCAAACUUGCACAUGUUAAGUCUGAGUGGAAUGGGAGGAGAUUUUUUUUCCCAACCUCCCCCCUCCACACACCCCAAAAAAACCAUUAAGAAAUCUCUUUAUUUUAUAAACAUGUAAUAUAUAUACACACACACACAUACAUACAUACACACACAGUAUAUAUAUCUAAAUUGAUAUUGUACAGUACAAUGCAAUAUAGCACAACAAUUCUAUUAUAUUACCCCGAAGAUUACUUUAAAUGAGUUGCCACUUCCAGAAGUUCGUAGAAGAAGCAAUUCACUCCCUCUCCCCUAUAAAAUGGCAUUCUGAGAUGUGAGUUGGGCUGCAAAUAUAGCCUUGGGGUCAUAAUGUGGUUCUAUGGAUGCGCUUUGCUCACCCUUGUGUCAUUUUUAAGAACCUAAUUAAAAUAAUAAUCUAAAAAGGGAUCUUAUUGAAUGCAAAUGGGACCCUUAUCUGUUUU
ensembl:lncRNA